rnacentral:rRNA from 1 species
UACAGAGGGUGCGAGCGUUGUCCGGAAUUACUGGGCGUAAAGGGCGCGUAGGCGGCCUUCUAAGUCAGACGUGAAAUCCCCCGGCUUAACCUGGGAACUGCGUCUGAUACUGGGAGGCUUGAGUAUGGGAGAGGGAUGUAGAAUUCCAGGUGUAGCGGUGAAAUGCGUAGAUAUCGAGAGGAACACCUGCGGCGAAGGCGGGUUGCUGGGCUGACACUGACGCUGAGGCGCGAAAGCUAGGGGAGCGAACGGG